rnacentral:rRNA from 1 species
AUCAUGGCUCAGAACGAACGCUGGCGGCGUGCUUAACACAUGCAAGUUGUACNAGAAACACACCCUUCGGGGUGUGGAGUAAAGUGGCGCACGGGUGAGUAACACGUGGGUAACCUGCCCUUAGGACUGGGAUAACUGGCCGAAAGGCCCGCUAAUACCGGAUAAGGCCACAUAGGCUUCGGCCUAAGGGGUCAAAGCCGGCCUCUCAACGAAGCCGGUACCUAGGGAGGGGCCCGCGGACCAUUAGCUAGUUGGUGGGGUAAUAGCCUACCAAGGCGACGAUGGUUAGCUGGUCUGAGAGGAUGAUCAGCCACACUGGAACUGGAACACGGUCCANACUCCUACGGGAGGCAGCAGUGANNAAUUUUGCGCAAUGGGGGAAACCCUGACGCAGCAACGCCGCGUGAGCGAAGAANGCCUUCGGGUCGUAAAGCUCUGUCAAGUGGGAAAAGAAUCUUCUGAUGAAUAGUCAGAAGGCUUGAUGGUACCACUGGAGGAAGCACCGGCUAACUCC